rnacentral:rRNA from 1 species
AUUGAACGCUGGCGGCAGGCCUAACACAUGCAAGUCGAGCGGAGCGGCGGACGGGUGAGUAAUGCCUAGGAAUCUGCCUGGUAGUGGGGGAUAACGUCCGGAAACGGGCGCUAAUACCGCAUACUAUCAGAUGAGCCUAGGUCGGAUUAGCUAGUUGGUGGGGUAAAGGCCUACCAAGGCGACGAUCCGUAACUGGUCUGAGAGGAUGAUCAGUCACACUGGAACUGAGACACGGUCAAGACUCCUACGGGAGGCAGCAGUGGUGAAGAUUGGACAUUGGGCGAACGCCUGAUCUACCCAUGCCUCGUGUGUGAAUAAGGUCUUUGGACUGUAUAGCUCUUUUAGUUGGGAGGCGUUACCAACAGAAUAAGCACCGGCUAACUUCGUGCCAGCAGCCGCGGUAAUAC